rnacentral:snRNA from 1 species
AGAUGUCUGAGAGUGACCAGGCUGCAAGUUAUGUUACCCCCUUGAUCACCAGGAUUGAUUGGGCUGAUGUGGUUGGUGAAGGAGCAUCCCCUUCCACUUUCACAGCUCCAAGCGUAUGCCUCCUGAAGCUGUGUGUUUUGUCAAAGAGGAUAACCUUCCCAGAGUAGAGGAACACCAGUCUUAAGGUAUAUGAGUAUCUGUGCUCCCAUGCUAUAACAUCCAAGCAAACCCUCAAAGGGGUGUUUAAGAAUACCCCAAAGACUCUACUGGAAUGGUUCAAGAGAUUGUUUGUAUUACAAAUGUAUGCUUUCUG